CACACACACACCUGUUCUGUGUUUCCAGGGUGUUUCUGCUGCGCUGAGCCUCCUCCAGCUCGGCCUGCACCUCCACCAGCUUCUGCCUGUUCGACUCCUCCUGAACGCACAGCAUCUUGUUUUCACUCUGCAGACGCACAACUGUCUCCCUGCCGCAGGCCGAGCGCUGUCACUACUCACCAGCUCCACUGAGACCUCUCUGUUGGACCUGUGCACACCUCAGCUCGUCGUUCGUCUCCCGGAGUGUGUCCCUCUCCGAGAUCAGACGCUGAGGAAACCAAGCACAACACAAACACGUCUCACUUUGCUGUGCGUCAUACUUGUCGUGAAGGUUCUUGUACUCAAACUGCCACUUCUCAGCUUUCAUGGCCUCCGCCGAGUGCCUGGUGUGAAGCUCAUGCGCCUGCAAGUCAGAGAGCAUAGCAACAGUCUGUGUUGGCAGGAGCGCUCUUUAAAAACUGAAAACUUUUCCACAACACGUGCUGAAGCCAAGUGAUGUGUUCAACUGGGAGAUCACCACGAGGAGCCGGCCUCGCUCGGCUUGCCUGUCUCUUGUAGGUGUCCAGCUGGUUGCGGACGGCGUUGGCUCGGCGGAGCUCCUCCUCCAGCUCGCAGGUGCGCUGCAUGUACACGGUGUUGCGCUCCUCCAGGAGGCGCACCUGUCUGCGCAGGUCUCCCAGAUCCUCCAGCUUCCUCUUGUACGUCUCCACCAGCGCUUCCAGCUGGUUCACCCGGUCAGAC